AUGCUAUGAUGAAUCUUUUUUUUGAGCCGGAGGCGUUAUUCGUCGGGGACGGCACUCAAACCCUCUAAGAAGUUCUGAGCUU